UCUUGGUCAUUUAGAGGAAGUAAAAGUCGUAACAAGGUUUCCGUAGGUGAACCUGCGGAAGGAUCAUUACCAAAUCAUAGACAUGGGUUGUUGCUGGCCCCCAAGGGGACAUGUGCACGCUCUGUUUAUACAUCCGCUCACACCUGUGCACCUUCUGUAGUUCUAUGGCCUUGAGGGCUCUGUCCUCCUGCUGUAGCUCUAUGUCUUUACACACACUCUGUAACAAAGACCUAUGGAAUGUAUUUCGCGUUCAACGCAAUACAAUACAACUUUCAGCAACGGAUCUCUUGGCUCUCGCAUCGAUGAAGAACGCAGCGAAAUGCGAUAAGUAAUGUGAAUUGCAGAAUUCAGUGAAUCAUCGAAUCUUUGAACGCACCUUGCGCCCUUUGGCUAUUCCGAAGGGCAUGCCUGUUUGAGUAUCAAGAGCACCUCAACUCCUCAUGGCUUGCCAUGAUGAGCUUGGACCCUGGGGGUUUUGCUGGCUCAUGGUCAGCUCCUCUCAAAUGGAUCAGCUUGCCAGUGUUUGGUGGCAUCACGGGUGUGAUAAUUAUCUACGCUUGUGAUUUUCCCACCGAGUAACCUUCAGUGAUGGAGGUUCGCUGGAGAUCAUAAACGUCUCUCCUCAGCGAAGACAGCUAUGGAACGUCUGAUCUCAAAUCAGGUACGGACUACCCGCUGAACUUAAGCAUAUCAAUAAGCGGAGGAAG
rnacentral:rRNA from 1 species